rnacentral:rRNA from 1 species
UACGUAGGGGGCAAGCGUUGUCCGGAUUUACUGGGCGUAAAGAGCGCGUAGGCGGAAACGCCAGUCCGGCUUGAAAGCCCCCGGCUCAACCGGGGAGAGUGGCUGGAAACUGCGUUUCUUGAGGGCGAGAGAGGAGGGUGGAAUUCCUGGUGUAGCGGUGAAAUGCGUAGAGAUCAGGAGGAACACCCGUGGCGAAGGCGGCCCUCUGGCUCGACCCUGACGCUGAGGCGCGAAAGCGUGGGGAGCGAACAGG